rnacentral:rRNA from 1 species
AUGAUUAAAGGAGAAGAUUGUUCUUUUACCAAACAUAUGCAGAUCAGAUCACGUCCCAUAACAACAAGAAAUAUUUCUUGGUAUCAAUCCUCUUGCCCAUCAUCCUUUGAGAGUCAGAAGGAUCUUUUUCGAGUUUCCAUUUCUUCAUUUGAAAUUUGGGAUCUUCUAUCUUUGACUUAUUUCUUUUGGCUUUAA